AUUGAACGCUGGCAGCAUGCUUUACACAUGCAAGUCGAACGGUAACAGGCCGCAAGGUGCUGACGAGUGGCGAACGGGUGAGUAAUGCAUCGGAACGUGCCCAGUCGUGGGGGAUAACUAUCCGAAAGGAUAGCUAAUACCGCAUACGAUCUGCGGAUGAAAGCGGGGGACCUUCGGGCCUCGCGCGAUUGGAUCGGCCGAUGUCAGAUUAGGUAGUUGGUGGGGUAAAGGCUCACCAAGCCAACGAUCUGUAGCUGGUCUGAGAGGACGACCAGCCACACUGGGACUGAGACACGCACCAGACUCCUACGGGAGGCAGCAGUGGGGAAUUUUGGACAAUGGGCGCAAGCCUGAUCCAGCAAUGCCGCGUGCAGGAAGAAGGCCUUCGGGUUGUAAACUGCUUUUGUACGGAACGAAACGGUCCUGGUUAAUACCCGGGGCUAAUGACGGUACCGUAAGAAUAAGCACCGGCUAACUACGUGCCAGCAGCCGCUGUAAUAC
rnacentral:rRNA from 1 species